UAAGAGAAAAAAGAGGAAGCUGUAGGGAGCAGAGAAGAGAGCUUCUGCACAGAGAAAGCAGGCCACACCAGUGCUGAAUGGGGACAAUCACCCACUGACGCAGCAGCCUGCUCACGGGAGUCAGACCAAGGUACAGGAGCCAGAGCUUUCCAUAAAUGGCGGUGGAAAGGGUGGGGUCCUUGCAAUGUGACUUGAGGAAUCUCAAAGAGCCCACGCUGGGUCCCAUUCCCCAUUUGCUGGCUUAGAGGCCAAAUUCCCCUCGCUGAGUUUGGCUUACAACCAUGCCCUUUCUCCUUUCUUUCUCUUCUUUCUUCUCUGUGAAUUGGGAU
rnacentral:lncRNA from 1 species